rfam:Podospora anserina genomic DNA, chromosome 3.
UCCCACAUAGUGUAGUGGUUAGCAUGUCAGGUUUUCACCUCCUCUCUCCUUACGCUUCUUAGCAGAGAGCCGCACAGUUAAUACCCUGGAGACCCGGGUUCAAACCCCGGUGUGGGAA